rnacentral:rRNA from 1 species
AUUGAACGCUGGCGGCAUGCCUUACACAUGCAAGUCGAACGGCAGCACGGGUGCUUGCACCUGGUGGCGAGUGGCGAACGGGUGAGUAAUACAUCGGAACAUGUCCUGUAGUGGGGGAUAGCCCGGCGAAAGCCGGAUUAAUACCGCAUACGAUCUACGGAUGAAAGCGGGGGACCUUCGGGCCUCGCGCUAUAGGGUUGGCCGAUGGCUGAUUAGCUAGUUGGUGGGGUAAAGGCCUACCAAGGCGACGAUCAGUAGCUGGUCUGAGAGGACGACCAGCCACACUGGGACUGAGACACGGCCCAGACUCCUACGGGAGGCAGCAGUGGGGAAUUUUGGACAAUGGGCGAAAGCCUGAUCCAGCAAUGCCGCGUGUGUGAAGAAGGCCUUCGGGUUGUAGCACUUUUGUCCGGAAAGAAAUCCUUGGCCCUAAUACGGUCGGGGGAUGACGGUACCGGAAGAAUAAGCACCGGCUAACUACGUG